ensembl:lncRNA
CACCGGGCCGACACCGAGCCGCCGGGCCGACCCCGGGCCACCGGGCCGACAGGCCGCCGGGCCGACACCGGGCCGACACCGAGCCGCCGAGCCGACACCGGGCCGACACCGGGCCGACAGGCCGCCGGGCCGCCGGACUAGCACACGCCGCACAGAGCGUCGGAUCCCGAAUUCCGGCUUUAGAAAUGUUCUUAUGUGACUCUUUGUUUACAUAUUUGUGCUCUAUGGAUUUUUCGAACAGUAUUUGUAGUUUUGGGUCGGAACGCAGCUGUUGGAGAACCUGAACCCACGUGUGAUUAUUUCAGCUAACUGUAAUAACCGGACGCCUUCCAUGACCAUUGGCCGACCUGCUGUUUGUCACCCAGCUGACACGCAAAGUUGAUGGAGUUCCUGUUCUCUGCUGGAGGAGACGGACCAGUGCAACCAGUAGCUGCACUGGGAGGUUGGCGGCAUUAUGAAGAACAACCUCCCUCUGCUGUCAGCAGCGGCACCGUGGAUGAACUCGCCCUCUGUGCCAGUGGACUCUGCUCCAGAUGGACGCGCCGGGGCUGAUCCCUGAGCGGAGGCAGCCGACCAAGACGCCGCAUCCAUUCAACGGGGGAGCCGGGCUUCUGAUUCGGUUCAUCGGGAUCACUUCUACCUGCAGACAAGCAUUAGCACAGAGUGGGUCGUCAUCUUUGACUUGAUCAACCAAUGAUAGCGGAGCAGCGGCGCUCCGGCUUGAAAAUAAGCCAAAGUAAAAAGGGUCUCGAUGCCAGCGGCGCCCGGCUGAAUCAAAAUGUUAUCUUUUAUUCCAAACCCAUUAGCAACCUCCCGACACGUGCUAUAAUAAAAAUACACAUUUAUUUUGGUAAAAAUGGGAUGAAAACAGCACUUCAAAGCUCUUGGAGAUUGAAGUAGCAAUUUGAAUGUUUCAUGCGCCACCCCCCUUCCUUUCAUUGCAUUGCUGGGGCUUCGGUCAUGAGGAGACCUAUUCACAAAGCCCAGGAUCGUCCAUUCAGGAAGACCAUUCUUUAAUGUAGAGAUAUCAUGUCUUCUCUUAAUGUACAGACUGGUUUGAGUGUGUUCCUGCGUGUGUGCGUGUGUGUGUCUGAAAGUAGGCUAAUGGAAGUUCAGGCAGCCGGGGACCAAUAAAAGAACAAAUGGCAAAAAAACUAAACUAAAGCAAACUUCUUCAAAAGUAGAACAGUACUAUGAAAUAAAAUAGAAAGAUUCUUUUUGUUGAAAAAGACAAAUCUUUUGAAUGCAUCAUGCUAUCAAAGGUUGGGCGUUUUGGGAGAUGUUUAUAAUCUAGAUUCUUGUACCUGUAGAAUAAUACAAAACGCCUGGCAGGUCAAUCCUUAGAACAUGGACCCAGGAUCUAAAGCACCUUAUUCAUUAGUAAUCACGGCCGUUGUACCCAAGAUGCUUGAAAUCAACACUUACUGUGCGACUGCCGUCCCUGGUUGGACGGAAUGCUCAAACCUGCAGUGGAAUCCGUCUCUUUGUCUUCUAGUGACGAGGCGGCGCUGGCCGGUCCGUGCCUUUGAGUCCCGGUGCAGAGCCGUUUUAAAGGCAGCAGGCCGGUGUUUGCGUAUGUAGCUUCAAAUCCCAGUGGGUCUAAUUCAACACUUGUUCGUUGCGCCGCGGCACCUGGAGACCGGCGGCCUGAUGUCUGACAUGCUGUAGCCCGUGGCUGCUUUCCAGCUCGGCAUCAAUCGGGGGAUCAGCAGCCGUGUAAAACAGGCCCACGCGACCUGAAACUUUAAUGGCGACACAGAGGCAACCAGGACCCCGCUCAUCCCGCCCCCCCCCCCGCCUGUUCCUCCGCGCUGAGGGACCCCCCUCCGUGACGGUGGUCCCGGCUAAUCCGCAAUCCCCAGUAUGUGGACGGAGUCCCGGCCGAGCCUCCGUCAGAGGGACACGGCAAUGAACACCUGGGACUCAUUUUCAGAUGUUGUAACAAGUAAGUCAUGUGAGAGGUGCGUUCGGCCUCCAUCACCUCCUCCGCACACCCCCUGCUCCUCUCUUCCGCCUGACUUCCUCCACCACGCUCCCGGCACUCUGCGCGCUGUUAAUUAUUGAGCGGCCCGAGGAGCAGCGUCGCGCUGCCGCUCUGCUUGUUUGAAAUAGCUCUUCAGCAGUGAUGCUGCUUUUUACUCUGUUUUUGUUUUAUCUAAUUGGACUUGAAAACAGCAAUUGUCGUCAGUUUUUGCUCCCCAGAGGUGAGAACUGGGGUUAGAAGUCAGGUAAAAUAUCCCACCACAAACAUCUCCUUGCCGCGUGUUCCUGGGCCGAUGCACUGGGAAGGAUGCAAGUGUCCAUUUUUCUAAAGUACUUUUGCAGCUUAAACGCAGCGUCGCUAUUUGUCGAGUUCGAAGAGAGAGGCUGUUGUUCCUACAGGUGACAAUUAUACCUGCACUUCUUUUCAAUUGAUUUACUUCACGACUGUGGAAACCGCCGGGCUGACUUGUCAGUGGAGGUGAUUCACAGUCUCCAGACGCCGCGUCCACAAAGGGCUGGAUGGAUUUGCGUACAACUCUGUCUGCUCGGUUGUGACGUUACUACGACAGUUACCUCAUUUCUGAUUGUAACGCGUAGCCGUCCAACAAAGGCACAGGAAGAGGCUGAGGGCCACUGACCAAUGGGUUACCAGGUAGACUAGAUGGUAAUGGACACAGUUCAGCUCACACGACUCAUUGGAUCAGCUUGUCGUACAAAACAACACAACGGUGGCACAUUGUACAUGAUAGCACGCGCUACGCCGCUGCGCUACGUCGUUACUCUUGACUUACAUUAUCUAAUUAUCCUAUCAUAUAAAAAAAACCCAAUUGAUAUUCAGUUGCUUCUCCAAAACCUACCGAAGCGUUUCCCAGCGUUGACCUUGUAGUGUACGAACGCUCUCCUGCCAUGAAUGUGAUCAAGGUGCAUCUUUAAAGACAAUGCUUGAAUGUCGUUUGUUGUCUUGUUUUGCUUCCAGCAUCAUCUGUGUGUGCGUGUGUGUUUUCCUGUGUGGGCGCUGCCGUCGGCCUCGUGUUUAACUGGAUAUGACACACAGUCUGUUCCAAUCAGUGUUUUCAUGAGCUGCUCCACUGAGAUCUGGGCAGAUGCCGUCUGCUCAGACACGAGGAUUCUGUUGGUGAUUUGGUGCACGUGUGUGGCUAAAUACACUCACGUAUGUAUGGUGAUUGUAUCUGUGGUGAUAAAAGACAGCGUCGUGCAUGCAGCCUCCAAAAAAAAAGAGCAUCUUAAUGUUGCAUUUAGAGUAAAUCAGGCAGGCAAAAAAAAGACAGACGCUCCCCAGUGACCUGAAUGGGGAGUCAGGGGAGAAUACCCUCAUGAGCUGCUCUCUGCUAAAUGCACUCUCAUAUUAAUAUUUUAUAACCACCCAUAAUGCUGCUGGGGAAAGAGAAAAAGGGAGGGGGGGGGGUCCUGAGAGAGGGGGAGGGGAUUUACAUCAACCGGCCCAAGGUCCCUCAGCAGGAAGUGGUGUUAUUGUAGUAGUAGUAGUAUUCUGCCUUCUGAUGGAGGAACAUCUCUCAGUCUUGCAGAGACUGUGCAGAGACGUGUGUUAUCGGAUGACAAACAGCACUUUGGUGUGAGGAUGGACACAACAACCACGAUCUUUAGAGAGGGGGCGCGUCACUGUGGAGACCACGCAACUCUAAAUGUGUCAAAGGACUGUUUCUGCCCCCCCCCGAGCACCAGGGGCUCCGGCUUUAGCUUAAAGGCUGAUACAAGCUAAUACUAGCUCUGUGCUUAUAACUAUGUUUGUAUAACUAGUUAGUUAGUGUUACUCCAGAGUUUCUUUAUUUCCCAAUCACAGUAUAAUUUGGUAUAUUAAAUAAAGAAAUGGUGAUAAUAAUAAUGAUCAGGAAUAAAAUGUUGUAUAAAUGAAGCAGAUAUAUGAACAAACCGUUCCGAAUAGAGAGAGGAAGGAAUUUGUAGAGUUCAGUGUGUGUAAGAGGUGCUGAGGAGGAGAUUUGUUAAUUAGUCAUUUUUGUCUGUCUACAGAUGCAAAUAGACCAAUUUGUGCAGCCUACUCCUAAAUGUGUAUUUGUGAUACCCGCUUCUAUCACAGCAGCCUUGUUUUUCCUCUAGUAUCUGCAACAAUUUGCAUGUACAUUAUCUGUCAGCUGCUUCAAUCUAAUAUUUAUUAUUACGAAGGAUAAUUCAGUACAAGUUGUACGGCACCACCACCAAUAAUAAUGAAAUAAUAAAAGCCAGUUAAUUAUUAAUGCUGAUACUGUUUAUUAUGAACUGCUAUUGAUAUAAAGUACGCUUGAAUAAGAUCUGGGCCACCUCCAGAGUGUCUGGCCCUCAAUACGUCACCUCGCUGGUUUGUUACUUUUACACAUUUUUCAUGUGAAAUUCAUUAGCAUAUCAUCGACAGUAACCGUAAUUGUUUAAUGAGUCGUUAAUAAGUAACACAGUAAUUAGCAUCAGUGGCAUAAUUAUGUGUAGUGGGCACAGCAUUUUUUUGUUUGGAAUAAUUAUCGCCAUUGACAGCCUUUUUUCGCACAAACAAGUAGAUCCCUGAGAGGCGGCGAAGGGGCGUAACACACAAACACACAAACACACAAACAGCGCGCUCCAUCCGAGGGGCAGCGCGACGAAACACAACACUCACAUAAAACAGUGAUCGAAAACAUGCUGAGCCCACAAGUCAACAAUAUAUAUGUAUAUAAAUAUAUAUAUAUAUAUAUAUAUAGUACUCAGUGCAUUUGUUAUGUUUUUAUUCC